UCAUGCUUAAUUAUUUUUUUUAUUAAAUUUCUGAUACGACGUCACUCAGCGUUCUUAAGCGACCUUCUCCUCCCUCACCGUCUCUCUCUCUCUCUCUCUCUCUGAAGCUCGAGUCCUCUCAUCUCUCACUGUGGCUCAUUGCUCUCGCACCAAGCUCUCUCCCUCUCUCGGCUCCAGUCUCUCACUGUCUGGUGUCACACUCAACUCGUCGUCGCUCUCUUGGCUCCGGUCUCUAUCACGGUCUCUGGUCUCGCACUCAGUCGCGCUCGCGCGCCUUCCCUACCCUCGUCGUCGCCGGAGGCAGAAGCAGCUGGUCCUGGGACUGGUCGUCUUUGUCGUACCCUGUCUCGUCACCGUCUCGCAGUCAGUCCCGCACCUACGUUGCGCUCGUUGCCGGGGAUUCCUCCUUGCCGCCAGCUUCCUUCGAACAACCAGAAGCUGGUCCCAAUUUGGCGCUUCAAUUGAACUUUUGGUUGGUGGAGUUAACUCAGAUUUGAUAAUAUGAUAUGUUAUGGCACUGCAAUGCAAGGCUUCUGGGAAGGAUUACCAAUCAUGCUGUACUUUUAGCCGUUCUGAUUUUAUUAGUUCCACACCCUGCUCCCUUCUUUUAUCACUUUGUGUCCUUUUUUCUUUGUGUAGCAUUUUGAUUUGGCAGUGUUAUUAGUUAUUACUUACUAGGUUGAACAAUUGAUUGGACAAUUAGUGUGAUCAAGGGAAUGGGAAGGAAGGAAGAAAGAAAGAAACAAAACAAACAUUUCUUUCCCAUUGCUUGCCUUGUGACAAUGUAAAUUUGAUUUUGUUGUUAUGGAUUUAAUUUCGUCUAAAUAGAAAAAGGUUUUUCUUUUUUUCAUAGGAGUUAUAGCUUUAGUGUUUUUUAUCAGUUUUUUUCUGCUAGUUGCAAAGGUGCAAAACUUGGGUCUCAUUUUACCUUUGUGUAUGCGAAAUUGGUUCAUUCUUCAUUCAAUGUAUAAUGUAUUCUUGACUUC